rnacentral:lncRNA from 1 species
AUAUCAAGGGACAAAAUUUUCAGCUCACGCCGUUUGGCAGUGGAAGGCGAAUAUGUCCCGGCUUGCCUUUGGCUAUGAGGAUGUUGCACAUGAUGUUGGGAUCAUUACUAAUUUCUUUUGAUUGGAAGCUAGAAAAUGGUAUGAAACCUGAAGAAAUAGACAUGGAAGAUGCAAUACAAGGACUUGCCUUGAGAAAAUGUGAAUCCUUGAGAGUUAUUCCAACCAAAAUCAGUAAUUAAAUUCCCUACGUAGCAACUUGUAAUUCUUUUACGUGUAUUUCAAUAAAUGGCCUGUCAAGGAAAUUAGACAUAGCAGUGUGAGUAAACAUAGACAUGAUCAAUAAAUAAUAAUAAAAACUAGAUUCUGACCUGCGCGUUGAGCGGAUGUCUUGCAUUUUAUUGUAAGCAAAAUGAUUACAAUGUAUCGAUUCAUUUAAAAAUUGUAUGGUACAUGUGAUUUUUUUUAUAUAUAUAUUCAAAUGUAUGUAACGUGUAGAAGGAUAUUGAAAAAAAAAAUGCAAAUAAUGAAGAUGUGUUUUAGAAUAAAUCAGACAUGUAUCAUAAAUAAAUAAAUUUGUGAUUCCUCAAGAGAGGAAUAAAUUUAUAUAAAAAAAUUGUAUAUACUAAUAGCAUCUUAGAGUUGACCAAAUAUUCGGGUAUGCACCACCAUGUCAAACACUGUAAAAAAUGGCAAACAAAUGUGACAUUUAUCCGUUGUAGGUUACUUAUUUUUUGUUUGGAAUAACAGGAAUCUCGUGGUUCUCAUCUUGUGUAGCCGAAUAC